rnacentral:lncRNA from 1 species
UUAUGGUAUGAUAUAUAGAUGCCAAUGCGGUGCUCGGUACGCUUACCGUUAGCUUGAUCCACCUAUCCGCCCGGAAUCCUCUUCACCCUGUGAUGAGCUAUUCUCUCCGAAAACGUAUUCCAUGUCGGCUCUAAGCAUCUGACCACCGCGCCAUCGACCUGUAGAGACCCACGCAACAUCGUUUUCGUACCUGUUCAAAAAGGGACUUCCCUUAUGCCGUUAGCAACCGUGAUGCAACACUUACCAGAUACGAAUCUUGUUUUUGGCAGAAAGGCGCUACACAGGCUGAAGCUGCAGCGAUGACGACGGUGUCGAAUGGGGCUGCCGCCCACUUCAAUGAAGACCAUACAACACGUUCCUAAGACGGAGGCACAUUUUUUGUGUCAGCUGCACCCGUCGCAAGGAGUCACUCAGGGUGGGGGAAGUGUUUGGAAUCCAGAAGGACGCUAUGUAACUGAUCCUCAGUCCAGAGGAGAGACCCCGACUGCGCUGAUCCGGCAUCUACUAACUCCGCUCACUCUGUUCCUAUUAAACGAUACAGUCUCGUGCGGUGCUAAUAAAUAAAUAAAUGACUUGAUACGGGCAUUUCAUACUCGUCUCGGUAAGGAUGGCUUCACGUGUUUCGUAAGGCAAAUACUUGUUGCGAAAACACACAUUUUUUAUACUGCGAGAUGGCAGCAUUUUUUACUCAUUUCACGGCUAAAAGAUAAUAUAUUAGAGUAUCACUGAUACAAAAUGUCUCUUCUUUAAUUCCUUCAAUACUAUCUAAUAAGAACA